GGGGAAUAUUGGACAAUGGGCGCAAGCCUGAUCCAGCCAUGCCGCGUGAGUGAUGAAGGCCUUAGGGUUGUAAAGCUCUUUCGCCGGUGAAGAUAAUGACGGUAACCGGAGAAGAAGCCCCGGCUAACUUCGUGCCAGCAGCCGCGGUAAUACGAAGGGGGCUAGCGUUGUUCGGAAUUACUGGGCGUAAAGCGCACGUAGGCGGAUGUUUAAGUCGGGGGUGAAAUCCCAGGGCUCAACCCUGGAACUGCCUCCGAUACUGGGCAUCUGGAGUCCGAGAGAGGUGAGUGGAAUUCCGAGUGUAGAGGUGAAAUUCGUAGAUAUUCGGAAGAACACCAGUGGCGAAGGCGGCUCACUGGCUCGGUACUGACGCUGAGGUGCGAAAGCGUGGGGAGCAAA
rnacentral:rRNA from 1 species